rnacentral:rRNA from 1 species
UGGGGAAUAUUGCACAAUGGGCGAAAGCCUGAUGCAGCAACGCCGCGUGAGUGAUGAAGGCCUUCGGGUUGUAAAGCUCUGUCUUUUGGGACGAUAAUGACGGUACCAAAGGAGGAAGCCACGGCUAACUACGUGCCAGCAGCCGCGGUAAUACGUAGGUGGCAAGCGUUGUCCGGAUUUACUGGGCGUAAAGGAUGCGUAGGCGGAUUUUUAAGUGAGAUGUGAAAACCCUAAGCUUAACUUGGGGACUGCAUUUCAUACUGGAAAUCUAGAGUGCGGGAGAGGAGAAUGGAAUUCCUAGUGUAGCGGUGAAAUGCGUAGAGAUUAGGAAGAACACCAGUGGCGAAGACGAUUCUCUGGACCGUAACUGACGCUGAGGCAUGAAAGCGUGGGUAGCAAACAGGAUUAGAUACCCUGGUAGUCCACGCCGUAAACGAUGAGUACUAGGUGUAGGAGGUAUCGACCCCUUCUGUGCCGCAGUUAACACAAUAAGUACUCCGCCUGGGAAGUACGAUCGCAAGAUU